AUCAAAGUUCUCUUCAGUUUGCAGAGAGAAUUUUACAGGGGGAGUCAAUCGAUCUUGACACUUCAAAGAAGGCAGUACACAAGUUGAGGCUGGACAAAGCCACUUCCCCCCUCAGAGAAUCUGAUGAUCUAAGCAGCCUGUGCUUUUAUUGUGGGAUGGAGGACCAGGAUGAAACACAAUAGAUUUGCUGUGACGUCUGUCAGAAGUGGUACCACCAUGAAUGUGUACAGAGGCCUCCAGUUGAUGAGCAGUACCUGUGCUCUGCAUGCAAGUAGUGGUGUUCCUUGUUGUUACCUCUG